rnacentral:piRNA from 1 species
UGCCUAAGCUGUGAAUGACUGUGCUGGG